GGAGGAACCAGUACCCGGGGCCUGGGGCCUGGCCACUUCUGUCCCCAGGAAUCAGCUGAGGCCCCGAAAGGAACUUGCCCCCAGGUUCGCUGGGCCAGGGAGGCCGGGUCUCCUCCAGGAAACAGUUCAAGCAGGAAAAGACGAAGCCAGCCUCCUGCAAGUGCCCGGGGACGCAGAGACCCCAGCCAUCCCUUCUCCUGUCCUGCGGGCCUGAGGCCCAGCUCCGCCCGAACAUCCUCACCAAGGACCUCCGGGAGACCUUCGCUUACCAAAACAAGCUGGCAGCACAGACCGCCAGAAGUGAGUGUCCCCUCGGGGUGGCGGCCCGGGGCCGUGUCUGGGACUCGCUAACUGACGCUGCCCUGUGGCUGUGUCCCUCUCUCCUCCGCCGUGGUGACAGAGCGGGAGCCAGGCCCGGUGAGUAGACACCCGCACUCGGGGCGCCCGGCGGUGGGGCCCCCUGAACUCGGGAAGGCGGUCACUCACGCAGGGUGGUGACCCUUCCCGCCGCAGUGGAAAGGCCGCAGGUGGACCAGCGGGACAGUCCGGGGCCAGCAGAGUCGGGGGGCUGAUGCGAUUCCCUCCAGAGGGCGCGGAGCCGCGGGUCCCGCGCUGCUGAACUUGGAGGCAAAGUCGGAAGAGGAGGAUUCAGGUAAGGACCCUACUGGGAGCGAGAGGGAGGGACAGCGUGUCCGUGGCCGGACCCCUGCUCAGGCGCCGCUGUCCCUGUCCAGGAACUGACUCGGCAGAGCUCUCCUCCAGCUCCUGGGAGGACCUCAAGG
rnacentral:lncRNA from 1 species